UUGUUUAAUUGACUGCUUAACUACACUCACCUCACCAUGAAAAUGCCUUUAGCUCUUAGUUGGCUUGCACACGAGGAAGACCUACAGAUGGUCAACGGGUGACCAGCCCUUCCUGGUCCAGGUUUUUAAUCCUGUGGUUUUCUCUCUGGUGGUUUCUAGAUGCUUCUGAGGAGCACUUCAGCUGGGAUCGAGGGAAUUGAAUAUGCACAUUUUGAAGAAAAGGAACCACUGGAGCAUCUAUAAAUACUGAGGAAUAAUAACGGAAGGAAAAAGGACAAGUUAUUGACUGUCGUUAAAAGUACAGCAAAGAAUAAUGGGCCUCUUCGGAAUGAGGAUGACUUUUCAGUUAUGAUGGAUCCAACUUCUAACACUGAGGAGUGGGGAGUGGAGCGAGGUCUGCAGACAGAGGCCCCUCUCUGGCAUUCAGAGCCAAGCAGAUGAAAACUGAAAGAGCAAAAAAGUACAACCAACAGUAUUGCCUCUACCAGGGGCUUUCCAUGGCUCCAUAGGGUGAUAUCUGAGUGAUAAAGUAUUUGACAACACAGGUCAUUCAGAAGAGAUGCUGAUUAUGACCAGCAGUUUUACCUGCAGUGGUAUAUUUCCUCUGAAUAGCAACUCUGCUCUCUGCUAUUCCAAAACACUUUUUUGAAAUAAAAAUAACCUAU